AGUUUGAUCCUGGCUCAGGAUGAACGCUAGCUACAGGCUUAACACAUGCAAGUCGAGGGGCAGCGGUAUCGAAAGCUUGCUUUCGGUAGCCGGCGACCGGCGCACGGGUGAGUAACGCGUAUCGAACCUGCCUCAUACUCGGGAAUAGCCUUGCGAAAGUAAGAUUAAUGCCCGGUGUUUUCAGAGUCCCGCAUGAGGCUUUGAACAAAGAUUUAUCGGUAUGAGAUGGCGAUGCGUCCCAUUAGCCUGUUGGCGGGGUAACGGCCCACCAAGGCAUCGAUGGGUAGGGGUUCUGAGAGGAAGGUCCCCCACAUUGGAACUGAGACACGGUCCAAACUCCUACGGGAGGCAGCAGUGAGGAAUAUUGGUCAAUGGGCGGAAGCCUGAACCAGCCAAGUAGCGUGCAGGAAGACGGCCCUCCGGGUUGUAAACUGCUUUUAGUUGGGAAUAAAACGGGGCUCGUGAGCCCCCUUGCAUGUACCAUCAGAAAAAGGACCGGCUAAUUCCGUGCCAGCAGCCGCGGUAAUACGGAAGGUUCGGGCGUUAUCCGGAUUUAUUGGGUUUAAAGGGAGCGCAGGCGGACCUUUAAGUCAGCUGUGAAAUACGGCGGCUCAACCGUCGAACUGCAGUUGAUACUGGAGGUCUUGAGUGCACACAGGGAUGCUGGAAUUCAUGGUGUAGCGGUGAAAUGCUCAGAUAUCAUGAAGAACUCCGAUCGCGAAGGCAGGCAUCCGGGGUGCAACUGACGCUGAGGCUCGAAAGUGCGGGUAUCAAACAGGAUUAGAUACCCUGGUAGUCCGCACGGUAAACGAUGGAUGCCCGCUGUUGGUCUGAAUAGGUCAGCGGCCAAGCGAAAGCAUUAAGCAUCCCACCUGGGGAGUACGCCGGCAACGGUGAAACUCAAAGGAAUUGACGG
rnacentral:rRNA from 1 species